AUGCCUCCGGAGACGAGCCUGUCCGUGUCUGAUGUUAGCCUGGAGCGGCCAGACCUUUCGGAGGCCUGGCGCAGUGGUGAAGUCCUCCCUACUUGUGCCAAGAGGUCCUGGGUUCGAACCAGCCUCUCUGCAUUGCACUUUGCAGGGGUAAGACUAGGUUCCUAUAAUCCCUCCCCAGACCCCACCUUGUGUGGGAGCUUCUAUGCACUGGGUCUGUCCUUUAGAUAUGUUGGCGACUUCCUAGAUGGUCAGAGCAUGCUAGUAUAUGGGUUCAUUGCUAUCCGGGACGAGUUGGAUUGUCUGCGGAAUUACAUCUUCAACUGUCCUAGAGAGCAGGCGCACGAGAUAACACCGGAUUCCCGGACGUUGCCGCUCAUAUCUCCUGUUCGUGGGAACUCUAUUCUCGAUGGUGUUCUUCUUGAGUACAGCCUGAAGGGCAUCGAAGCAACAGUUGACAUUGAGAUUCCAAUGGCUAGUCCAGCUUGGGGCCUGAAGGCAGUGACUGCAUUUACAAGUGGACUUUCAGAUGCAAUUGUUCUGUAUGAUGGGUCUACUUCUUCUCCUGCACAAUCAGUGUUCCCUAUAUCAUCAGUUGUUACUGUUCAACUGGGUCAUGAGCUAAAGCUUAAAUUUGACAUCACGUCUAAGGAUACGGUGCACAAGGGGUGUGCGAGGAAAGCAGCGUCGGCGCAGUACCAAAGGCCGGAUGUUGUGAUCGAUGGAGAGCCGGAACCAAAGACAUAUUCCCGUUUCCUCACUUUCAUUUCAGAGAAAUGUUCAUUUGACAGUGGUAAAGUUUCGAUCGGUGACGAGUUCAAAGCUGAGGUUACAGUGACCUGGUCCACCAUGGGGCCGUAUUAA
rnacentral:rRNA from 1 species